rnacentral:tmRNA from 1 species
GCAGCUGCGGUUGCCUAAACACCUCUAACAGGUUCGAGCAUUCACAGUUUGACUCCGUUAAGAGCUGUGGAUAACCCUCAACGGAUGCUCUAGCAGUUUGCCUCUGGUCGUCUGCUAGCUAAGACACUACCAGAGCAUCCCACCGUUCGGGAUAAGGAACGGUUCCCGCUUCGAGGAUUAGAGAAGCUACGCCUGUGAAUGAGCGAAGUGCUAAUACCUAAAGCGGACACGGGUUCAACUCCCGUCAGCUCCAUUU